rnacentral:lncRNA from 1 species
CUGCAACCAGACUUUCUUAUCUGCAUGUGGGAGUUUCCUUUGUAUAUCAGGAGGAAAGGAGUGGCUUGGAAGGUGAAAGAGAAAGGAGACAGCUUUAGUCCAUCCAUGACUGUGGAGCGCCGGUGACUUACCUGUCUAGUAGGCCCCAUCUAUUAAAGGUUCCACCACCUCCUCACUGAAGACCAAGCCUCCAGCAGAAGAACUGGUUGGGGACAAACUGGAACUGCAGCAGUGGACAGAAGAGUGGCACAUGACUGGUAGGCUUAGGGCUCAGAACAUUUGUCUCUGCCUCUGAAGUAGCAGCUAAAAUGUCCACUUCCUCUGGUUUACUCCCCCUACUUUUGUCCCCCAGAAGUGCUGAUCCCUCAAUGAGAACCAACCCCUGACCCUUGGGCAGCAGGACCAGGCUCUUCAGCUUAUGGACUGGUUCCCAGACUUUGUAUUCCUGGCAUCUCCUUGGAAACUCCUGCUCUGCUCAAGACUUCCUUUGUAAACUCGGACG